UACGUAGGGGGCAAGCGUUGUCCGGAAUCAUUGGGCGUAAAGAGCGUGUAGGCGGCUUGGUAAGUCCGCUGUGAAAGUCCAGGGCUCAACCCUGGAAAGCCGGUGGAAACUGUCAAGCUUGAGUCCGGAAGAGGCGAGUGGAAUUCCUGGUGUAGCGGUGGAAUGCGCAGAUAUCAGGAGGAACACCAAUGGCGAAGGCAGCUCGCUGGGACGGUACUGACGCUGAGACGCGAAAGCGUGGGGAGCGAACAGG
rnacentral:rRNA from 1 species